rnacentral:rRNA from 1 species
AGUGAACGCUGGCGGUAGGCCUAACACAUGCAAGUCGAACGGCAGCACAGGAGAGCUUGCUCUCUAGGUGGCGAGUGGCGGACGGGUGAGGAAUACAUCGGAAUCUGCCCAGUCGUGGGGGAUAACGUAGGGAAACUUACGCUAAUACCGCAUGCGACCUUCGGGUGAAAGAGGGGGAUCGCAAGACCUCUCGCGAUUGGAUGAGCCGAUGUCGGAUUAGCUAGUUAGCGGGGUAAUGGCCCACCAAGGCGACGAUCCGUAGCUGGUCUGAGAGGAUGAUCAGCCACACUGGAACUGAGACACGGUCCAGACUCCUACGGGAGGCAGCAGUGGGGAAUAUUGGACAAUGGGCGCAAGCCUGAUCCAGCCAUACCGCGUGGGUGAAGAAGGCCUUCGGGUUGUAAAGCCCUUUUGUUGGGAAAGAAAUCUUUCAGGCUAAUACCCUGGGAGGAUGACGGUACCCAAAGAAUAAGCACCGGCUAACUUCGUG